rnacentral:lncRNA from 1 species
AUAUUUGGACAAUUUUAAUCACUUAAUAUUAGAUGGAGGGAGUAAAUCAUAAUUAUACAUGUUGUUUGCGCCUCUUCGUUUUGCGCUUUUGUCCCAAAUCCCAACCCCUGAACAAAAGGCUGCAGACAAUAAACAGAGCACAUUGUUCAUAUUUCAUAUUAACAAUAUGAAAGACCAAUAGAAUAUGAAGGAAAGAAAACAAGGAGUCCAUCAGGUACAAUACGGGCAAACAUGGUUUAUGAUUUGCUGACUACAUAUAAAUUAAAGUAUCUCUUUUACUUCUGCUAAUUCUGAGAAUGCAACACCAAGCAAGGCAUUACUUAUCCCGGUAGCUUUUCUAAUUCAGUCAAAUACAGUAAACUCCUACUUAUAUACUCUCUCCGUUCCUAAAUACUUGUCGUUGUUUUAGUGCAAAUCAUAAAAACAAAAACAAAAUUUACAAUCUGGGUCUUCUUAAUUCAGCUGCCUGCUACAAUCUAUAAUCAGUAGUUAACAUCAGCUAUUUGAGACAAUUUCAGAUUUCAGAGAAAAUAAUUAAAAAAAACAAAGAGGCAGGUGCCCACGUUGCCUUCACGGUCGCUGCAGUGCUGAUCUCUCUGGCGUGAGCUGCUGCUGCGACGGGGGCUCAGGGGGCGCAAUGGGC